UACGUAGGGUGCAAGCGUUGUCCAGAAUUAUUGGGCGUAAAGAGCUCGUAGGCGGUUUGUCGCGUCUGCUGUGAAAACGCGAGGCUCAACCUCGCGCCUGCAGUGGGUACGGGCAGACUAGAGGUAGGUAGGGGAGAAUGGAAUUCCCGGUGUAGCGGUGAAAUGCGCAGAUAUCGGGAGGAACACCGGUGGCGAAGGCGGUUCUCUGGGCCUUACCUGACGCUGAGGAGCGAAAGCGUGGGGAGCGAACAGG
rnacentral:rRNA from 1 species